CCCUUAGAUGUCCUGGGCCGCACGCGUGCUACACUGAUGCAUACAGCGAGUACUCCCAGCUCCGAGAGGCUGCUGGUAAUCAGCAAUAUGCAUCGUGAUGGGGAUAGAUCUUUGGAAUUAUAGAUCUUGAACGAGGAAUUCCUAGUAAUCGCAGGUCAUCACCCUGCGUUGACUAAGUCCCUGCCCUUUGUACACACCGCCCGUCGCUCCUACCGAUUUCGAGUGAUCCGGUGAAUCAUUCGGACCGCGGCCCCUAGGCAUGCGGAAAGUCUAGUAAACCAUAUCACUUAGAGGAAGGAGAAGUCGUAACA
rnacentral:rRNA from 1 species